AAUAUUCUUGAGCAUGACAUAUUUGGUUAUAAUGAACAUAAACAAUUAAGCUUUAUUGUUUGUGAAUAUUUAUACAACAUGGAUAAGAGAAUCAAACCCCAUAUAGCAUGCAUAACGCAUCGGUCAAUGGUGUAAUGUUUUAAUAUGCUCUGAGAAAAGUAAUAUGGAUAAAAUCUACAAUUUAAAUGGUGACUUCGAUCUUCCCGAAUAUCUACUUGAAUUACCCAUCUUUCUUUUAUAGAUUGCGUACAUAUAUAGAUGAAACAAAUUUAAAUGAAACUUUCGAAAAAUAGGAGUAUAUCGAAAUUGAAACCAAUCAGGAACAUCCAAAAUCUAAAUAGAGAUAAAAAAGCUUUCUUACAAAUUUUUGCUCAAUACGGUGGUUUAAUAUUUAAUGGAGAGUUUUCCGCCAUGCACACCUACAAAUCUUUCACCUUUUUCUGGUGAUAUGCGGCUUCAAUAUCUCUCUCCACUUUAUCUUAUUCAUGCUAUCUCUUAUAUCAAAUUCCUUCAUUUUGUUUGUCGAACAAAUAUCCUAGCACCCAGCUGUCCAAGCCUGUCGGUGACCGGGGUGGCAUUUCUAAGCUCAGAAAUUUAUCUUAUCGUAUGUCUUUAUACAUCAGUAAUCGAAGAAUAAAGGGAAAAUUUUACAGUUCCUUAUCAGGACUGAAUCUUUUACCAUCGGCGUCCAGGUAUACAUCAUAAACCCACUAGGCCGCGUUUUUAUACAUUUAAUAAAAUAUGCCGAAUUAUUACUCAUGGAAUUGAAAUAUAAAUUUAUUCUUAGAAGCAUUGCAUAAUAAUAUAAUUAUGAGAUCUUUGAGAAUUUAGAGGGAUAAAUAUAGAUAUUUUAAAAAUAUUAUGUAAUAUUAUAUAAUCCUAUAUGUUAAAAAAAAUAACGGAUAUGCUAGUACCAAUAGGGCUGGGAAACAAAUAAUUUUUAUUACAAACAAAUCUAAAAGCGAUUCAAAUAUAAUUCAAAAAAAAAAUAAAAU